GUUUCAGCAUUAGCAGGGCCCCAUGCUGUCCAAAGCAUGUCCACAUGCAUGGGUUUUAAUUCAACAAAUACGCAUGCCCUGAAAUCAAACAGAAAUCAAACAAGGCACGUGCCCUGUUCCAGGAAGUGCAGGGAGAGGUAAAGGUGGUGUUUCGCUCUUGUCACCCAGGCUGGAGUGCAAUGGCUUGAUCUCGACUCUCUGCAAACUCCACCUCCCGGGCUCAAGCAAUUCUCCUGCCUCAGCCUCCCGAAUAGCUGGAAUUACAGGCGUGUACCACCACCACACCCAGCUAAUUUUUUUUUUUUGUAUAUUUAUUAGAGACGGGGUUUCACUAUGUUGAUCAGGCUGGUCUCGAACUCCUGACUUCAGGUGAUCCACCCACCUCAGCCUCCCAAAGUGCUGGGAUUACAGGUGUGAGCCACCACACCCGGCUGGAGUUAUUUAUUCUUUACCCUUACACUAGGAAUUGAGUUCUGUAAGAUCCCAAUUUCAUGAGGAAUUCUCUUAUAGACCCUCCACCUUGAGCAAGCCACAUAACUCUUACUACUAUUAUGUGAUUUUUGGUGGUGGUGAUGUGUGUAGGUGUGGGUUUUGUGAAGCACCUGGCAAGACUAAUGUUCUGAGGGACACCCUUGAAGUGUUGGUUCAUUGGCACCUGCUGGGGCAGCCCAGGUGAUCUUCCAGAGAUCAGACAGAGAUCUUGGGCAGGGCAGAUUACAGCAGACCCUGCUGCCUUCUGAUCUCCCUGGAGGAAUGGGAGGAAGGCUUUCCUCCUCCCAAUGCCAAGCCAACCAACCUUCAGCAUUCUGAAUUCUGGGGCUCCAGACCCCAGGUGCUGGGGGAUAGAGAUUGAUGGCCUGGUUGUAUUUCAAGGUUGUUCCUGAAUAAAACCUCCAUUCAGGUAUUUAUUUGGGAAGAAGAGAGAAGAGCCAGUGCUGGGAGUUGGGAUUGCGCCUUUGGCCACAAUGAGGAGGAAAAAUCGCUGCAAUCAAAGUGAGGAGGAGUGCUUAGAAUUUCCACGGGCAGCAAGGUCCAAGGCCCACUCCCACGUGGCCCCCCACACCGCGGGAUGGCUGCUGUGAUCCCAGGAAAUGGGUGUUGACCUCACAGCUUGACAGCAUUGGUGAAAAGUCCUUGUCUUUCAGCUAACCCUGACAGCAAAGGACCAGCCAUUUAGUUUUGAAAUGGACCUUGAGGAAUUCGGAGUGAACACCCCACAGGCAACCGAGAUGGACUGAAGGUCCCCUUGUAAGUGGAGCAGGGGCUUGCGGUGCAUGGUGUCUUUGAAGCCUCACACCCGCUCACUCGCCCCCGGAGGCAGGUCCUAUUAUCAUCCGAGAUGAAGCUGAAAGAGAUAAAGUCCCUUGUCCAGGGCCACCCUGCUGGUGAGGGGAAGAGCCUCAGUGUGCAUUGGGGUACGUCUGGCUGGGUCUCCAGGACUAUAACUGCUCGAGCUGAGCAGCCUCCAGCUGGGGAAGCAUCAGACCAGAUCCCACCCACCAGGAAGCCUGGGGUGGGGGGAGGAUCUUCAUGUUGGUCCCAGGGCACAGCCCCUCCCCCACCCAGGAUGUGUCAUUCUCACAGGGGCAGCCAGGGGUGAAGGGUAAGCCGGCCGGGGGCGGGGUGGGACCAGGGAGGGUGACGUCACCGCCGGGCUUAGUAAUGCUUUGGCAGAGCCUGAAGCUCCCACCUUGGGAGGGAGGGGAAGGAGGAGGGGCAUCGCUGGAGCCAGCAUCCAGGAGGCUGCCAAGUCGGUGAUCAGGGACGGGCACCCUGCCAGGAGCACCCCAGACCAGGCCUCCUGGGAAGGGGGGGACUCUGGGAGAGGAGAGACACUCUUGGUGUGCUGGGAGGGGACCCUGCAAAGCGGUGUCUGUAUCAGAUUGAGUGCAGAGUGAUCCUCGGACUGUCUGUCCAUCUGACUGGCAAGGCUGGCGGCCAGCCAUCCCCUGAUCAAUGCCCAACUGUCUGACCGCCUGACCGUUGAGUCCCGUCACUGGCAGAUGGACUGCCUGACUGAUUUACAUGACUGAUGCUUGGAGGAGCCAUGAAGGAUGGGCCAAAUCUCUGUCCACAUCCGUGAGACCCUGGGCUACCCUCUGAACCUGAUGCCACCUCUUAUAAACACCCAGGGUCAAGCGAAAGAAGAGAGAAAAUUAGCAUCUACUGAGGUUUAUCAAAUACCCAGCCUUGGGCCAGAUGCUGGAGGGACACAGCCAAAUCUGACAGGGACCCGCCCUCAGGAGCCCACAUUCUAGUAGGGGAGACAGAGUCACAGCCGUAAUGACAGAAACCAGUGCAUUAGAUAAGCAAAAUCAGGCGAAAGGGAAAACAGCUUUAUUCUUGUCACCCAACAUUUUUAUUUUUUAUUUUUUUUUACUUUUUAUGAUUCCUUCUCCGGUGGAAGUUCAUCCCCCCAUUCCUGGAUGAAAACUCGGGCAGCCCCACAAGUUUUCUGCCCCCGGUUAGGUGAUAAAAAUUCUUAGGUCACUUUAAAUUGCAAAUACAGAGUCAGGUUGGCAUUAAAAGUGUCUGGUCCGAGGUAGUAACUGCAUCUUUGAACUUGGUUCAAAGCUAACCCUUCUUUCUGCCCUUGCUGCCCUCUGCAGGCAGCAAGCUGGAGAAGGGGCUUGGACCUACUUUGCCCCUGCACAUGCCCUUGCUCCAUGCCCCUCUUCCCGCAUGUUGCUACAGACUGAGCACCCCUAAUUCAAAAAUUCAAAAUCUGAAAUGCUCCAAAAUUCAAAACUUUUUGAGUACCCAUGGCAUGACACUACGAGUGUAGAAUAUUCCACCUAACCUCUGCUUUCUGAUGGUUCAAUAUGCACAAACUUGGUUUCAUGCACAAAGUUAUUUCAAAUAGUGUAGAAAUUACCUCCAGACUAUGUGUGGAAGAUGCAUAUGAAACAUAAAUAAAUUUUGUGUUUAAGGCUUGGGUCCCAUUCCCAAGAUAUCCUAUCAUGUAUCUGUAAAUAUUCCCAAAUCCAAAAAUAUCCCAGAUCUUGUCCGGGCACGGCGGCUAAUGCCUGUAAUCCCAGCACUUCGGGAAGCUGAGGUGGGUGGAUCACUUGAGGCUAGGAGUUCGAGAUCAGCCUGGCCAACAUGGUGAAACCCCAUCUUUACUAAAAAACACAAAAAUUAGCCGAGCGUGAUGGCGUAUGCCUGUAAUCCCAGCUACUUGGGAGGCUGAGGCUGGAGAAUCACUUGAACCUGGGAGGUGGAGGUUGCAGUGAGUUGAGAAUGUGCCGCUGCACGCCAGCCUGGGCAACAAUAGUGAAACUCUGUCUAAAAUAUAUAUAUAUAUAUAUAUCCCAAAUCUAAAACACUUCUGGUCCAGACAUUUUGGAUAAGGGACACUCACUCUGUAUUUGCAGUUCCGGGGCUGCCAGGGCAUAGCCCAGAAGGGAGAGGAGUCGGGAAGGAAAGGUUUUGUCUCACCGGUCCUGUUGUGGGAUGGCUUCUGCUCACAGGGCCCGGCAGGGGGCAGGGCUGACUCUGUGGAUUCUUCUGGACGCCUCCUUCCUGUCCCGGGAGGCUUUGGCUGCACUUCCCACACCGUGGGCCAGGGGCAUCCUGUAGGUGGCUGCUGCCCGCUCUAACCCUGGCUUUCCAUGCCCACCCCACACUCAUGCUCUGCUGUAGCCCUUCCCAGAUUUACUUGUCCACAUAAUUCUGAAGAGGAGGAGGAGGAAGAGCUGUGUUUUGUCAAAGUUCUUGGCAGACCAGGCCCAUGUUUGAACCCCAGAAAAUAUACUUGUUUUCUGCACUCUGUUGAACUCUGGGGAAUCCCAGCCAAUCCCACCUCAGAUCUAUCUUCUGUUUAUUCCUAGCAGAUAGCAGCCCCUUGCUGGCCUUUUUAGAUUUUCCUGGUGGGAGCCAACUUUGUCUAGGCUUCUGCAUCCCCAACUCACUGGAGACACACGUUACCAUCUUCUCAUAAUCCACUGGGACGCUCUAACCAAGCCAUGAGAGGGGCAGGCAUUUCCAAAACAGCCCCUCAUAGGGGCUGGAAAUCUAAGCAUCCCCAGAUCUCCCUCCAAAGAAAUCCUUUUGACCAAACGUCUCCUUCUCUCUAGUCACUUGAGCUUCUGAUACCCUCAACAGUCGGGCCAUUAGCCUGUUCUCGGCCCAAGCUUCCACCAUGGCUCUUAUUCCAUGAUAGGACCCCUCAUUUCCCCCCAGCUGCAUUCCUUCCCCAGGGUCCCCAAGCCCAGGAAAUACAGGCUUCAGCAUACUCAGCGGCUCAAGCUGUAUCUUGGCGUCUUUGCUGACUCUUGCAGUCUAACCCCAGUGUGCCCUUUUGCUCUGGAUUUGCCCAUCUCACACCUCUCAGCCUUGGCACUUGCUGUGUCCCCUGCCUUCUCUCUCCUCCAGGGCCUGGCGAAUGUGGCUCACCUUUGGCUGUCCAGGGUGGCUCUCGGUCUCCUGAUUGCAAAUCCUUCCUGUCUCCCAAAAUAGCCUGAACUCUAAGGUUGUGGAAGUGCUGCCCUCUCCGGAGCUCUGGGGAGGCUCCCUGGGUCCUACAGAUCUGAGUUUCAUCUGACAACACAUAUAUGGGCACGCUGGAACUCACCCAUUCAUUUGCUGAGCACCUAUUACAUGCCAGGCACUGAGCUAGGCACUCAGGAUACAGUAGUAAAGAAUCAAUAACAUCCCUGUACACACUCAGGAGCCCCCACAGCAUAUAUGUGGACACACACACACACACGCACACAUGCACACGCACACAGACAUAAACAAAGACCCCAGUUUACAACAGGUUUCCUGGGGGCUGGACUUCAUAAGGCCUAAGUUCAUAGUCAAUAUGUAACAAUAAAAUGUCCCUCUUGGCCAGGCGAAGUGGCUCAUGCCUGUAAUCCUAGCACUUUGGGAGGCCAAGGCGGGCAGAUCACCUGAGGUCGGGAGUUCAAGACCAGCUUGAUCAAUAUGGAGAAACCUCGUCUCUACUAAAAAUACAAAAUUAGCUUGGCAUGGUGGUGCAUGCCUGUAAUCCCAGCUGCUCGGGAGGCUGAGGCAG
rnacentral:lncRNA from 1 species